rnacentral:tmRNA from 1 species
GGGGGCGACAUGGCUUCGACGUGGGUUACAAAACCGGCGGUGCAUGCCGAGGCGACAGCGAAGCCUCGUAAACUAUCCAGCUGUAAUUGUUAUAGUUGCAAACGACGAUAACUACGCUUUAGCGGCUUAAACCCGCUAACCUUUGACUGAAUGUGCUUGUGCGCUCAACUCAAAGGUCAUCCACACAAGCUCGCGGCCAGAUCUGCCUGGGGUCGAAACCGCUAAACCUUAAACCCGGACUCGCGGUUCACUAUCCUGUUCAUCGGAGAUUGAAUCGUUAAAUAAAUGAUGAAACUAAGCAUGUAGUACCAAAGGCGGAGAGCUUGCGGACGCGGGUUCGAUUCCCGCCGUCUCCACCA